rnacentral:rRNA from 1 species
UAGGGAAUCUUCCGCAAUGGGCGAAAGCCUGACGGAGCAACGCCGCGUGAGUGAUGAAGGUCUUCGGAUCGUAAAACUCUGUUAUUAGGGAAGAACAAAUGUGUAAGUAACUAUGCACGUCUUGACGGUACCUAAUCAGAAAGCCACGGCUAACUACGUGCCAGCAGCCGCGGUAAUACGUAGGUGGCAAGCGUUAUCCGGAAUUAUUGGGCGUAAAGCGCGCGUAGGCGGUUUUUUAAGUCUGAUGUGAAAGCCCACGGCUCAACCGUGGAGGGUCAUUGGAACCUGGAAAACUUGAGUGCAGAAGAGGAAAGUGGAAUUCCAUGUGUGGCGGUGAAAUGCGCAGAGAUAUGAAGGAACACCAGUGGCGAAGACGACUAUCUGGUCUGUAACUGACGCAGAUGUGCGAAAGCGAGGGAUUGAAACAGG